rnacentral:rRNA from 1 species
UACGAAGGGGGCUAGCGUUGCUCGGAAUCACUGGGCGUAAAGGGUGCGUAGGCGGGUCUUUAAGUCAGGGGUGAAAUCCUGGAGCUCAACUCCAGAACUGCCUUUGAUACUGAAGAUCUUGAGUUCGGGAGAGGUGAGUGGAACUGCGAGUGUAGAGGUGAAAUUCGUAGAUAUUCGCAAGAACACCAGUGGCGAAGGCGGCUCACUGGCCCGAUACUGACGCUGAUGCACGAAAAGCUAGGGGGAGCAAACAGG